UACACACUCAUACUCUUCUCUUCUCUUCUCUCAGAUUUUCCCUAAACACAUCUCAUUUGGGGCAUCUCUCUUUCUCUCUCUCAGAUUUGCGAACGAGAUUGAGUCGGGCCGAGUUGAGUUCAAAGUUACUCUGACGAGUCGUCGCUCGGGUGGGAGAUCGAGUCGAAGAAGAGUCAGACCUCGAAGAAGAGUCAGAGUUACUCUGUGGAGGUUCAACUCCAGUUUCUCCAGGUGAAGUUGAAUCCAUCUCUGGCAGAUGCUUGGCUCUGCUUAGGUAACUGCAUUUGGAAAAAAGGAGACCUACCUUAAGUAAAAAACUGCUUUACACUUGCACUAAGCAAGAUCGAUGUGGUACUUUAACUGGUUCUCGUAAGGACGAGGUACUC